UAUUUUAAUAAGACAAAAUUGGUGUAUGACAAGUCCAUUCCGUGUAUUUUUCUUAGCUGUGACGAUAUAGAGCUUGGGUGUAAGUUACUAAAUCUAGUAAAAAAAGGUUGUAUGUUGAGAUGCAGUGUUUUAAGAGCAUGAAACUCUACCUAAAUUAAGGAAGAUUAAAAAGUCAAGCACCAACAUUUGAGUUAAUUCUUUACUAGCGAUUAAGUAUACACAAGUGAGGAGUUGAAUGAAAAACAUGAUACUGAUAUUGAGACAGUAAUAGCUGAUGUAAGUGAUGCAAAAGAAGAUAGUUGUGCAUUUGGUUAGUUCGGU
rnacentral:lncRNA from 1 species